UCCCGCAACGAGCGCAACCCUCGUCCUUAGUUGCUAACGUUGCCGAUGGUGCUUGCACUCUAGGGAGACCGCCAGCGAUAAGCUGGAGGAAGGUGGGGAUGACCUCAAGUCCUCUUGGCCCUUAUGUCCCGGGCUACACACACGCUACAAUGGCCUGAACAAACGAUUGCAAGACCGCGAGGAGAACCUAAACCCAAAAAUCAAGCCUCAAUUCAAAUUGCAAGCUGCAACUCGCCUGCAUGAAAACGGAGUUGCUAGUAACCGCAGGUCAGCUAUACUGCGGUGAAUACGUUCUCGGACUUGUAACGUCGCCCGUA
rnacentral:rRNA from 1 species